CACAUCAAAUUGAAACACCGGUUCCUCUGCGAUCACCGAAAUUAAGCAACGUCAAGGCUGGUCAGUACCUAGAUGAGUGACUACUUGAGAAUAUCAGGUGCUGUAAG